rnacentral:misc_RNA from 1 species
UGAGAGUGAGUGAGCUUUGUAUACUAUGUAUAUCUGAUUUUAUUUUCUAUCUUGAAAAUUGCACAGUGUGUUUUAGUUUUUAAUUUAUUUUAUUGUUUGUCAGCAUUUCAAUUGCUUUCACCUGGUUUCCCAAUGUCCAUAUACCAAUGGUGUGAGAACAUUUGUUUUACACCAAAGUGUUAUUUAUUUCCCAUUAGAUAUGAACAUAUAGUAAAUGUAGUUUUUAUUCUCUGUAGCAGAGUAUGUAAAGCUAUUUCAACAUGUAAAAGUAUUACAUAUACACAAACCAUAAAAUUUACUUUUCAUAUGCAUCUGAUUUAUCUAUCUACACAUACCCACUUAGGUUGUUGUUACUAACAUGAAUAGAACCCCUCCCCCCUUUCAUCUUCAGAAGUUUCAGGGCUUUUAUUUUUCAAUGUAGAUAAACUGGUCAGUGUAUAGAACCAUAUUUGUAUUUCAUCAAUAGUGUUAAAGGGAAAUAGAAAUCAUGGUAAGAAUGAUUGGUUUACAUGUAUAUUAUGACAAUAAGACAUCAAACCGUUUUAUACAUUCAAGUCCUAUAUCUAUGUCACUAUGUUAGCGUUGUGUAGGUGAAGUGACAGUUUUCAGUGAUAAGGCCAGUUAUGGUCUGUUCCCAUCUUAUUUCGAAAUGUUUCAGUGUAAACUUUUAUUGUAACACAUCAAUUUUUGUUCAUUGGUAAAUGUUUUAUGUUUUGCGUGACUGUUGAUUCUAAUCUGGUUUAUGCAAACGUGUGUAAACACACAGAUCUCAAUAAAUGGUACUGCAACCUAG